rnacentral:rRNA from 1 species
UACAGAGGGUGCAAGCGUUGUUCGGAAUUAUUGGGCGUAAAGAGCUUGUAGGCGGUUUGUCGCGUCUGCUGUGAAAAUCCGGGGCUCAACCCCGGACUUGCAGUGGGUACGGGCAGACUAGAGUGUGGUAGGGGAGACUGGAAUUCCUGGUGUAGCGGUGAAAUGCGCAGAUAUCAGGAGGAACACCGAUGGCGAAGGCAGGUCUCUGGGCCACUACUGACGCUGAGAAGCGAAAGCAUGGGGAGCGAACAGG